AAACCAACAGGGAUUGCCCCAGUAACGGCGAGUGAAGCGGCAAAAGCUCAAAUUUGAAAUCCUGCGGGAAUUGUAAUUUGAAGGUUUCGUGGUCUGAGUCGGCCGCGCCCAAGUCCAUUGGAACAUGGCGCCUGGGAGGGUGAGAGCCCCGUAUGGCGCACGCCGACUCUUUGUACACCGCGGCUCCGACGAGUCGAGUUGUUUGGGAAUGCAGCUCUAAGUGGGUGGUAAAUUCCAUCUAAAGCUAAAUAUUGGCGAGAGACCGAUAGCGAACAAGUACAGUGAUGGAAAGAUGAAAAGCACUUUGAAAAGAGAGUGAAACAGCACGUGAAAUUGUUGAAAGGGAAGGGCUUGCAAGCAGACACGGUUUUACCGGGCCAGCGUCGAAAAGGGGGGAGGAACAAGAACUCGAGAAUGUGGCGCGCACCUUCGGGCGCGCGUGUUAUAGCUCGUGUUGACGCCUCCAUCCCUUUUCGAGGCCUGCGAUUCUAGGACGCUGGCGUAAUGGUUGCAAGCCGC
rnacentral:rRNA from 1 species